rnacentral:rRNA from 1 species
CGUAGGUGGCAAGCGUUGUCCGGAUUUAUUGGGUUUAAAGGGUGCGUAGGUGGUCUAUUAAGUCAGUGCUGAAAUAUCCCGGCUUAACCGGGAGGGUGGCAUUGAUACUGAUGGACUUGAGUAAAGUUGAGGUUGGCGGAAUUGACGGUGUAGCGGUGAAAUGCUUAGAUAUCGUCAAGAACACCUAUUGCGAAGGCAGCUAACUAAGCUUUAACUGACACUGAGGCACGAAAGUGUGGGGAUCAAACAGGAUUAGAUACCCUGGUAGUCCACACUGUAAACGUUGAUUACUCGCUGUUGGCGAUACACAGCCAGCGGCUUAGCGAAAGCGAUAAGUAAUCCACUGGGGAGUACGCCGGCAACGGUG